GCUGACUUCGGAAGCGAUGAAACCUGAUCCCGUAUUCGGGCGCUUGGGACAGGUGGAGCUAGUAGCGCGACCGGCCGAGAGUUCC
rnacentral:ncRNA from 1 species